CAGAAAGAACCAAAAAGCCUGCUGCAGUGAACUCCAGUGGUGAUGGAGUUUCGAGUCAACAGCUGGUUAACAUUAUCAGACUGAGUCGUGGUGCAGAAGUGACAGCUGGAUGGGAGCCAGGAAUGUCAACUACUCUAAUGCAGUCCUUCUGUCCACUUUACCCAUCACCAAGAACAAGAAGAGUAAUAAACAACACAGUCUGAUUUUUGCCUUGUAUUGUUUUCUUUCCUUGUUCAUCUUACUAGAUACAAGCAAGGUAUCACCACACAGUAGGUAUGAGCCCUU